rnacentral:piRNA from 1 species
UGGGGCUUGGCUAGAGGCUGUUCCUUC